CCCCCGCUCCGCGCCCGCGCACACCUUCGCGCGCUUCCUGUUCCUGGCGCUGCUGCCCGCCGAGCCAGAGUUAGCGUACAGGGUGGGACUGCGGGCUAUGAGAUUACCAAUGGUAUAAGAGGCGUAUGCGUUAGACAGCGCCGGCGGGACCGGCGCGGCAGGCGGCGGUGCUGGCGCGUGGCACACAUUACAGCACGCCGAGCAGCAACAAGCGGCUCUCGCCAGUGCGCUUUUAGGCGCAGCAAGAGGCAACCCAGGCCGCCUCCGAGCAGCGCUAGCCGCCGCACAACGGCACGUGCGUUCAGCGGCACAGCUGUUCCGGCUCGCACAGGACGCGCUGCGCCACGCCGCGCCGCCCG